AUAACUUUGAUACCCUUCACAACACCUUUAACAGAGACACUCAGAGAACAGUAAACUUGUUCUACACAAAAUAUAUCUUCAAAGAUUGAAGAAGAGUAUCCACUAACUUGGAGAGGACCUAUUUCCUUGAUGAAAAGGAUAUAUUUAUGUAGCAUCUAUUCUGUAGGAUGCCAUAUAUUGUGCACUUAGGAGACGGGAAAUAUUGUGCACUGCUGAUACUGCCAGAGAGAGCUUUAUGGAAUCUACGUGGCUGCAGGUUGUUGGGGCUGGACAGAAGAGCAUGGGAGCACAGAUAGGUAAGGAGAAUCGAAGAACUACAGGCCAGUCUCACCUUGAUUCCUUGGAAGGUGAUACAGCAAAUAACCCUAGAAGCAAUUUCCAAAAUAAGGACAAGAAGAUUGCAGUCAACAUGGAUCUAAGAAAGAGAAGACAUAUCCAGCCAAUGUGAUCACCUUCUGUGAUCAAAUGACCAACUUGUUGGAUAAGGGGCAAGAGCUAGAUAUGGUAUCUUGAUUUUAGCAAGAUAUGUCUCUCAUAGCAUCUUUACAGGCAAACUAGAUGAGUGGACAUCUAGAUGGAUUGAAAGCUGGCUGAAAUGGGUAGGUGGGUUGAAACUGUCUCAAAGGACUGCAAUCAAUGGUACAAAGUCCUGUUGGAAACAAGAUACCAGUGGUAUACCUCAGGUAUCAAUAUGGAGCCAACACUGUUUAAAAUUCCUGCUAAUGACCUGUAUGAUGGAGCGCAUCCUCAGCAAAUUUGCACAGGAUACAAAUGUGGGAGGAGUGGUUGAUGCAGCAGAGUAGUGCUACCAUUCAAAGGGAAAUCAGCAGGCUGGAGAAGUGGGCUGACAGAAGCAUCAUGAAGCUCAACAAAGGAAAAUACAAAGUCCUAAGGCUGAAGAGAAACAACUCCAUACACCAGUACAUACUGGGGACCAGCUAGAAAACAACAUGGCAGAGGACCUCUGGAUCCUUGUGUGCAACAAGUUGAACAUGAGCCAGUUACAUGUAUUUGUAGUAAAAAAAGGCUAAAGAUAUCUUUGGCUGCAGUGGGAGAAGUGUUGCCAGCAGGUGGAAGGAUGUGAUCCUUUCAUUCUACUCAGUGUUUGAGAGGUCAUACCUGGAGUACUGGUUCCAAGUUUGGACUCUAGUAAAAGAGAGAUGUGGGCACAUUGGAUUAUUUCCAGUGAAGGACCAUUAAGAUAAUUAAGCAUUUGGAGCAUCUUUCAUACGAAGAGAGGCUGAGAAAGCUGGAACAGUUCAACCUGG
rnacentral:lncRNA from 1 species